rnacentral:rRNA from 1 species
UGGGGAAUCUUGCUCAAUGGGCGCAAGCCUGAAGCAGCGACGCCGCGUGUGGGAAGAAGGUCUUCGGAUUGUAAACCACUUUCAGGAGGGAAGAAGCGCAAGUGACGGUACCUCCAGAAGAAGCCCCGGCCAACUACGUGCCAGCAGCCGCGGUAAUACGUAGGGGGCAAGCGUUGUCCGGAAUUAUUGGGCGUAAAGAGCUCGUAGGCGGCCCAACAAGUCGAAUGUGAAAUCUCAAGGCUCAACCUUGAAAUUGCAUCCGAUACUGCUGGGCUUGAGGCAGGUAGGGGAAAGUAGAAUUCCUGGUGUAGCGGUGAAAUGCGCAGAUAUCAGGAGGAACACCGGUGGCGAAGGCGGCUUUCUGGGCCUGUACUGACGCUGAGGAGCGAAAGCGUGGGGAGCAAACAGG